rnacentral:rRNA from 1 species
UAAUGUUUGAUGUUCUAACGUUGGCCCGUUAUCCGGGUUGCGGACAGUGUCUGGUGGGUAGUUUGACUGGGGCGGUCUCCUCCUAAAGAGUAACGGAGGAGCACGAAGGUUGGCUAAUCCUGGUCGGACAUCAGGAGGUUAGUGCAAUGGCAUAAGCCAGCUUGACUGCGAGCGUGACGGCGCGAGCAGGUGCGAAAGCAGGUCAUAGUGAUCCGGUGGUUCUGAAUGGAAGGGCCAUCGCUCAACGGAUAAAAGGUACUCCGGGGAUAACAGGCUGAUACCGCCCAAGAGUUCAUAUCGACGGCGGUGUUUGGCACCUCGAUGUCGGCUCAUCACAUCCUGGGGCUGAAGUAGGUCCCAAGGGUAUGGCUGUUCGCCAUUUAAAGUGGUACGCGAGCUGGGUUUAGAACGUCGUGAGACAGUUCGGUCCCUAUCUGCCGUGGGCGCUGGAGAACUGAGGGGGGCUGCUCCUAGUACGAGAGGACCGGAGUGGACGCAUCACUGGUGUUCGGGUUGUCAUGCCAAUGGCACUGCCCGGUAGCUAAAUGCGGAAGAGAUAAGUGCUGAAAGCAUCUAAGCACGAAACUUGCCCCG